rnacentral:rRNA from 1 species
AGACGGUCUUGCUGUCACUUAUAGAUGGAUCCGCGCUGCAUUAGCUAGUUGGUAAGGUAACGGCUUACCAAGGCAACGAUGCAUAGCCGACCUGAGAGGGUGAUCGGCCACACUGGAACUGAGACACGGUCCAGACUCCUACGGGAGGCAGCAGUAGGGAAUCUUCCGCAAUGGGCGAAAGCCUGACGGAGCAACGCCGCGUGAGUGAUGAAGGUCUUCGGAUCGUAAAACUCUGUUAUUAGGGAAGAACAUAUGUGUAAGUAACUGUGCACAUCUUGACGGUACCUAAUCAGAAAGCCACGGCUAACUACGUGCCAGCAGCCGCGGUAAUACGUAGGUGGCAAGCGUUAUCCGG